UACAGAGGUCCCGAGCGUUGUUCGGAUUCACUGGGCGUAAAGGGUGCGUAGGUGGUGAGGUGUGUCGGAUGUGAAAUCUCGGAGCUCAACUCCGAAACUGCAUUGGAAACUACCUUGCUGGAGGGUUGGAGGGGGGACUGGAAUACUUGGUGUAGCAGUGAAAUGCGUAGAUAUCAAGUGGAACACCAGUGGCGAAGGCGAGUCCCUGGACAACUCCUGACACUGAGGCACGAAAGCUAGGGGAGCAAACAGGAUUAGAAACCCGAGUAGUCC
rnacentral:rRNA from 1 species